rnacentral:rRNA from 1 species
GACGAACACUGGCGGCGUGCUUAACACAUGCAAGUCGAGCGGUAAGGCCCUUUCGGGGGUACGACGAGCGGCGAACGGGUGAGUAACACGUGGGUGACCUGCCCUCAGCUCUGGGAUAAGCCCGGGAAACUGGGUCUAAUACCGGAUAUGACUCCAUGACGCAUGUUGUGGGGUGGAAAGCCUUGUGCGGCUGAGGAUGGGCCCGCGGCCUAUCAGCUUGUUGGUGGGGUGAUGGCCACCAAGGCGACGACGGGUAGCCGGCCUGAGAGGGCGACCGGCCACACUGGGACUGAGAUACGGCCCACGACUCCUACGGGAGGGCAGCAGUGGGGAAUCUUGCGCAAUGGGCGAAAGCCUGACGCAGCGACGCCGCGUGAGGGAUGACGGCCUC